UACGGAGGGUGCAAGCGUUAAUCGGAAUUACUGGGCGUAAAGCGCGCGUAGGCGGUUUGAUAAGUCGGAUGUGAAAGCCCUGGGCUUAACCUGGGAAUUGCAUUCGAUACUGUCUGACUGGAGUAUGGUAGAGGGAAGUGGAAUUUCCGGUGUAGCGGUGAAAUGCGUAGAUAUCGGAAGGAACACCAGUGGCGAAGGCGACUUCCUGGGCCAAUACUGACGCUGAGGCGCGAAAGCGUGGGGAGCAAACAGGAUUAGAUACCCCAGUAGUCC
rnacentral:rRNA from 1 species